GACGAACGCUGGCGGCGUGCUUAACACAUGCAAGUCGAACGGCAAGGCCCUGCUUUUGUGGGGUGCUCGAGUGGCGAACGGGUGAGUAACACGUGAGUAACCUGCCCUAGACUUUGGGAUAACUUCAGGUAACGGGGGUUAAUACCGGAUAGGAGCUCAUGCAGCAUGGUGGGGGUUGGAAAGUUUGGGCGGUCGGGGUUGGAUUGGCGGAUUACCAGCUUGCUGGUGGGGUAGUGGAUUACCCACGCUUUGACGGAUAGCCGGCCUGUGAGGGUGACCGGCCACAUUGGGACUGAGGUACGGCCCAGACUCCUACGGUGGGCAGCAGUGGGGAGUAUUGCACAAUGGGCGCGAGCCUGAUGCAACAACGCCGCGUGCGGGAUGACGGCCUUCGGGGUGUGAACCGCAUUCGCCUGUGACGAAGCGUGAGUGACGGUAAUGGGUAAAGAAGCACCGGCUAACUACGUG
rnacentral:rRNA from 1 species